UGCAUCGGCCAUGAAUCGAACCCGGGCCGCCCGCGUGGCAGGCGAGCAUUCUACCACUGAAACCACCGAUGG
rnacentral:tRNA from 1 species